UCCCGCCACUAAACCAUACAAAGAAGAUUGUUACAUUUGGUGAAGAUUAAUUCACAACGAGAAACGGCUAUAAUCUACUGAUUUUUAAAGUUGAAAAAUAGCUAACUUUCAAGAGUCACGAACUCGAAAUCGUCAAUGAAAACCUCAAACUCCGACCUGUUUUUUUUUUUUUUUUGAUCUUUCUCCUUUUUUCUUUUGUUUUUGUUUUUGUUUUUGUGUGUUGUAUAUGGUUGUUUGUUGUUGCUGGAAAAAACCGCGUUUAGUGAGGGGAGUAUAUGGAUUCUUAUAAUAGUAUUAGAUGUUUGUUUGGAUUGGUAUUGGGAACAUGAGAGGGAGUAGUUAUUAUUGGUUGCUGGAGAGAGUUUUUGGAUUGCUGUAGGUUGUAAGUUGUUUAGUAGGAGUAUGUUUUUAGGCCUUUUUUUUUUUGUGCUGUACGUACCUAUUAAUAUAAGGUGUGAGUGGAUGUAGUUGAGGAGGUUAAAGGUGAGUGGUGUGAGGGGUUAUGUGUGAGGGGGGGACUUGGCGAGGUUGAGUAAAUGUGGGAUUGUGGGAGGAGGUUAAGGUGCUAUAAGAAAAUGAUAAAAUUGUGACAGAAAUUUUAGCCACAAAUUUGUCAUAAAUUAUUUGAUUUGAUUGUGAUGGAUUUGUGACGGAAAAAUGUGCAUCUCAGAACCUUUGGUUAUAAAAUUAUUGUGACAGGUUUAAUUUUUCUCAUAAAAUUAUAGUGACGGAAUCGAGACAAAUCAUCUAUCACAAUAUAAAUCCUU
rnacentral:lncRNA from 1 species